CAUGUACAUACUUGCUAGGUGAGGUUAUAAUGAGGACGGUACACAGAGUAUAUAAACCCGUUCCUACCCGCGCUCUUCAUAACUCUACUUCGUCAUCUCAAGUCACACCGUGAUCUACCAGACCGAAGAUUCAUAAGACCAAGCUCCACCAUGAGGCUGUUCGUUGGUGUCCUGUUGGUGACCUUGCUGAUGGUGGCCAUGCUUAUCGACGACUCGGAGGGCUUUUGGGGCAGCAGGCGUAGGCGUAGGCGCAAGCCGAAACUGGACAGCGAUCCGGAAGAGAAACUGAUGGAGGUCGUGGAAGAGGCCAGGUUCCUCCUGGAGGAUCUGGAGGACCUCGAUGAUCAGCCCGGGAAGCUGGCUGGAAACGACGCACCCAUGGAGGAGCGGGGAUAUGAGGAAGACGAUGACUGGAAGUAAAGCUGGCUACCGCGACACCAACCGGUCCGGACUUCCGAAGUUUGACUUUUUCAAAGCGUCAACAGCCCAAAUAUGGCAUAUUGAAUAAAACUGAAUAAACCUUACAGGUGUA